UUCGCUAGGGGUGUUUCUUCUGAGAGCCUAGGUAUUGGCAACCCUUAGAACCUGAUCUGGAUAAUUCCAGCGAAGGGAAGCGGUAU
rnacentral:ncRNA from 1 species